UUCUCUUUCUUUUUCCUGCUUUUUUUAAUUAAAAAAAUAGUAAGCAUCCCCAUUAACAACAGCGUUAAUGGUGCUCUAACGCGCUACGCUCUAACAAAGUGGGAUGUUGAUCUUUCAUUUGAGUGGGCCAUUGGGCCUUUUUCAUUCUCGGCCUCAUUGUUAGGGUUUCUAUCCUCUUCACUACAUCGACGUUAUCGCCUCCUUCCUCUUUGUAUCUUUCGUAUCCGCUGUUCUUCCUGUAACGUUUUUUCGUCUUUGGUUCCUAUCCUUUGAGACGUUACGAGAGGUCUUCAUUAAUCGCCAUUAAAAACUCCUUAACUCCAUCACGCACAUCAAGCACGAUGCGUCAUUCGUUGGUACUUAUCCCUGUUCUAGGCGGCGUUUCAUCACCUAUAACUAGUGAUUUGAAGGCCGGCCUUCUUCCGAGAAGCUAGAAACGUUAAACGUUGAUGAGGUGAACAUGCUCUCAUGAUCACAGUGUUUUUGGACAACUCAUGCGUUUACAUUUAUAAGUUCCACUCUUUUAGUCCAGUUCCUUAUUGAAUAUCUUUUGAAGCAAUAUUUUUAAACCGUUUGAUGAUGAUGCUUUCUUUUCACAUUUGAUAGUUUCAACCAUGUGUCAUUACCGCAUACGAUUAUUCUUCAAUUAAAUAGUGCUUUAGGAGUGAUAGAAAGCUCUGCUGCCACCAUUCUCAAUUUGGGUCAACUCAUAAAACAUAACGAGAGUGCAACUGUGCUAAAUUCAAGCAACAAAAACGAAUCAGUGCCAAAGAUUUCGUUUCAAGGAUGGAUAUGAUCUAUCGCAGUGGUGAGUCUAAUGAAAGUUGUUGGAGCACGGUGGAGAAGUGGUCCACGGUAAUGGCGAGCGAUGGCCUUAACGGCAUAGUUGAGUUACCAGGACGUGGUGGGCUCUCGGUAUGGCCGUGAUGGUUGUAUCAUUUUCAACAACAACAAAAUACAGAUCGGAGCAGAGGAUGGAAGGAAACAGAGGUGGAGAAGAGAAGAAGAAACAGGAAGAAAAUAGUUUCGAAGAUGUGUAUCUAUGGAGAACAUGUCAAAAAGCCAGAAAACUGUUGUUGGCGUUAUUACAAUUGAGCGGAAGCCAUAUAAUUGUCAUUGCUUCUUCCUGGACAAGAAGCCACUAGAACUUGCAUCAUUUAUCUAUCUUACAUGGUUUUAAUUUUUUAACGUCAUGUUUAAGUUUAUCACUACCAAAUAUUUUUGUUUUUUAUUGAUCCAUAAAUGUUAAACGUCAUGUUUAACUUAAUUACUAAUAUAAAUGAAUAAAAAGAUUAGAAUUCA